AUUGAACGCUGGCGGCAUGCCUUACACAUGCAAGUCGAACGGCAGCGGGGGAGAAGCUUGCUCUUCCUGCCGGCGAGUGGCGAACGGGUGAGUAAUACAUCGGAACGUGCCCUGUAGUGGGGGAUAACUAGUCGAAAGAUAGCUAAUACCGCAUACGACCUGAGGGUGAAAGUGGGGGACCGCAAGGCCUCAUGCUAUAGGAGCGGCCGAUGUCUGAUUAGCUAGUUGGUGGGGUAAAGGCCUACCAAGGCGACGAUCAGUAGCUGGUCUGAGAGGGCGAUCAGCCACACUGGGACUGAGACACGGCCCAGACUCCUACGGGAGGCAGCAGUGGGGAAUUUUGGACAAUGGGCGAAAGCCUGAUCCAGCAAUGCCGCGUGUGUGAAGAAGGCCUUCGGGUUGUAAAGCACUUUUGUCCGGAAAGAAAUGGCUCUGGUUAAUACCUGGGGUCGAUGACGGUACCGGAAGAAUAAGGACCGGCUAGCUACGUGCCAGCCGCCGCGGUAA
rnacentral:rRNA from 1 species